UACGGAGGAGGCAAGCGUUAUCCGGAAUUAUUGGGCGUGAAGCGUCCGUAGGUGGUUCACCAAGUCUGCUGUCAAAGGGUGGGGCUUAACCUCAUAAAGGCAGUGGAAACUGGUGAGCUAGAGUGCGGUAGGGGUAAGGGGAAUUCCCAGUGUAGCGGUGAAAUGCGUAGAGAUUGGGUAGAACAUCGGUGGCGAAAGCGCCUUACUGGGCCUGCACUGACACUGAGGGACGAAAGCUAGGUGAGCGAAAGGG
rnacentral:rRNA from 1 species